rnacentral:rRNA from 1 species
UGGGGAAUUUUGCGCAAUGGGCGAAACCCUGAUGCAGCAACGCCGCGUGAGUGAAGAAGGCCUUCAGGUUGUAAAGCUCUGUCUUUUGGGACGAUAAUGACGGUACCAAAGGAGGAAGCCACGGCUAACUACGUGCCAGCAGCCGCGGUAAUACGUAGGUGGCAAGCGUUGUCCGGAUUUACUGGGCGUAAAGGAUGCGUAGGUGGAUAUUUAAGUGAGAUGUGAAAUACCCGGGCUUAACUUGGGUGCUGCAUUUCAAACUGGAUGUCUAGAGUGCAGGAGAGGUAAGUGGAAUUCCUAGUGUAGCGGUGAAAUGCGUAGAGAUUAGGAAGAACACCAGUGGCGAAGGCGACUUACUGGACUGUAACUGACACUGAGGCAUGAAAGCGUGGGGAGCAAACAGGAUUAGAUACCCUGGUAGUCCACGCCGUAAACGAUGGGUACUAGGUGUGGGAGGUGUCGACUCCUCCCGUGCCGGCGCUAACGCAUUAAGUGCCCC